rnacentral:rRNA from 1 species
GAUGAACGCUGGCGGCGUGCCUAAUACAUGCAAGUCGAACGAACUGUUUUCUUCGGAGGAACGGUUAGUGGCGUCCGGGUGAGUAACACGUAGGUGACCUACCCCGAAGUGGGGAAUAACCACCCGAAAGGGUAGCUAAUUCCGCAUGUGCUCGGACAUUCAUUUGUCCGAGUAAAGCCGUAAGGCGCUUUGGGAGGGCCUGCGUCCGAUUAGCUAGUUGGUAGGGUAAUGGCCUACCAAGGCGAAGAUCGGUAGCUGGUCUGAGAGGAUGAUCAGCCACACUGGCACUGAAACACGGGCCAGACUCCUACGGGAGGCAG